UCUCUGUUGCCUCUAUCAUGGUGACAAAAAAAAUAAGCUUGGACCUACCCAAACAUGACACAUGGCUACGUAAGAUGAAGUUUUUAUUCCCUUUGCCCACUACAACCAAAAUCGAUGCAGAGACUCUCUGAAAAAAAGAAUACUCUCCUCUCUCAAAAAAAAAAACAAAGACCUCAUAGUCUCUGCAUUCUUACCUUCAUCAUAUAUACUUAUUUUCAUCUUCUUAUAACUAUCGUCACACACUCAUGCCUCCAUAGCAUUUCCACACACUCAACCUUUUUAAAAAAACACCAUUCACCAACAUUGUGCCUCUAUCUCCUCCACAUUUAUCAUCGUCAGUGACAACCACCCAACCUCCAUCAACAACCAUAAAACCACCCAAACUCCAUCUUCUAUCUUCUUCUUUCCGAAAAACUUCAAAACCCACCUUACAACACUCCACUCUCUGCCUUACAACCCAUAAAUCGGAGAUCGCAUACCAACAACCGUCAAACCUCCGUUCCAGAUCCGACAAGCUUCCCUUCCUCUUUUAACUUCAAGCAACCCUCAAUCUCCUCACAUCCAUAACUUCUCAUUCCAUACUGUGAAACUCCAACAAAACCUCCACCCAUCGAACAACAUGACCCUUCGAACCACACGCCACACGCCACCUUUUAGCUCCGCUGACAAUGAUUAUACGACAACACGUACAAUCUUGCACAAAUCAGCGCUCUUUCCUUUUCGCUUCGAACAUCGAAUGUAGCAAGCAACCAUCAUCAUUGUAUUCUUCUCCGGUGAAACAGAACAACAACAACAACAACUCAGUUGCUUGCAUCACCCACAUAACUUUUCCAUUUCAGCAGCACAACAAUAAUCGACGCCAUCAAGCUCCGAUUCAAUAAACAAUUCAACUUCGUGAAUCGAGCACCAGAAUAACAACAACACAAGACAAUCGCAUCGAGUUUACAGAGAAGAAGAUAAAGUGAAGUAGAAGAGCAGAGGAAGCAAGGAAUUCAUUACCUGGUGAUCUUCCGGAGAUUCACUGCAUCGGAGUUCAAAAGCGAUGACGCCUUGUUGAAGUUGCGUUGUGAAUGUGAGCCUUGUGCGAAUCUAAGAAGAGGAGACAUGGAAACGCGAUGAGAAACUUGGAGUGUGACGCCAUCCAAUCCGAAUCGCAAGCGCGAUACCGACAAACACGAUGAGGACGACGCAAUACACGACAUCCACGGCGCAGAUGGCUCUCGAAAGCAAUGAUUCUGGCGCAGGCGAUGAACUGGAUGAAGAACGCGACCUCUUGACGUGCAUAAGCGUUUCUUUCAUCGCUCCUUGUUGUUUCAUCUUUUUUCAUUUAAGCGGAUUAUAACACUUUGACCUGAUCCACUUUGAUGGUUGGACGCGGAUUUGGAUCCGGUUUCUUGGAACAUGCCACCUUCUUCAUCUAUCCACACACCCUGGUCUAUUUCAACACCCUUGCUCCUUUAUUAAUCACUCCAUUUAUUUUCUUUUUAGGAGGUUAGUUAGGGAUUUUUAUAGGAUUGAUUAGGGUUCUUAUUAGGUUAAUAGAGAAAUUAGGAUUUGGAACUUAAUUAUGUUGAUUAUGUGAUUUAGAACUUAAUUAGUAUUAGUGACUUUUAAGUCAAUUAGUUAA